rnacentral:rRNA from 1 species
AUUCCCCUAGUAACGGCGAGUGAAGCGGGAACAGCUCAAAUUUGAAAUCUGGCCCUUGGGUCCGAGUUGUAAUUUGCAGAGGAUGCUUUUGGUGCGGUGCCUUCCGAGUUCCCUGGAACGGGACGCCUUAGAGGGUGAGAGCCCCGUACGGUUGGCCACCAAGCCUGUGUAAAGCUCCUUCGACGAGUCGAGUAGUUUGGGAAUGCUGCUCAAAAUGGGAGGUAUAUUUCUUCUAAAGCUAAAUACUGGCCAGAGACCGAUAGCGCACAAGUAGAGUGAUCGAAAGAUGAAAAGCACUUUGAAAAGAGGGUUAAAUAGCACGUGAAAUUGUUGAAAGGGAAGGAUUUAUGACCAGACUUUUUCUGGGGGGAUCAUCCGGUGUUCUCACCGGUGCACUUCCCCCAGUUGAGGCCAGCAUCGGUUUCUGCCGGGGGAUAAAAGCUUCGGGAAUGUGGCUCCCUUCGGGGAGUGUUAUAGCCUGUUGCAUAAUACCCUGGCGGGGACCGAGGUUCGCGCAUUGCAAGGAUGCUGGCGUAAUGGUUAUUAAUCACCCGUCUUGAAACACGGACCAAGGAGUCGAACAUUUGUGCGAGUGUUUGGGUGUUAAACCCUCACGCGUAAUGAAAGUGAACGGAGGUGAGAGCCUUUCGGGGUGCAUCAUCGACCGAUCCUGAUGUCUUCGGAUGGAUUUGAGUAAGAGCAUAACUGUUCGGACCCGAAAGAUGGUGAACUAUGCGUGGAUAGGGUGAAGCCAGAGGAAACUCUGGUGGAGGCUCGCAGCGGUUCUGACGUGCAAAUCGAUCGUCAAAUCUGCGCAUGGGGGCGAAAGACUAAUCGAACCAUUGACCAGCGGUCAAAACAAUCACUAGGUGGUUAAGAGGGGGCCCGCGAGGGCCAUGGAGAAAAACCUAGGCUGUGCCCGGUUACCCUGUAGCUACCCUGUAGCUACCCUGUAGCCGAGCCGGCCGACACCGCUAAAAUGCGGGGACAUCCCUUUACAG